GACCGUUUGAGCUCCAAAAAAUUCAAAAAAAUUGCAAAAAUCACCAUUUUUCACCUAUAAAUAGAGGAGCACCUUGCCCUUCCAUUCCACACCAGCAACACCAUUUUCUCUCUUGUUUCCUCCUCUCAUUCUUGUCUCAAAGUUCCUGAGAAUUAGCGAUAAUUUGGCAAAAUUAGUUUGAAUUGUUGCAAAAAAAUCCGAGCAAUUCCAAAAUCGUCAUCCUGCUGACUUGCUAUCUUGAAGUUGAAGAAAUCUUGUGCUGCAGGUGAUGAUGGACCCGACGGUGAACCUCCGGUUGGUUCACAUCCAGAUCCAGGUGAUGCAGCAGCAGUUCCAUCGUCAGGCUCUACAAGUGCGGACACAUUAGCAAGCAGCGGGUCUAAAAGAUCAAGAGCCGGUACUUCCGAAGUUUGGCAAGACUUUGAAAGGAUCUACAAAGAGGAAGAUGGGGUAAGUGUCAGGUAUGCUAGGUGUUAUAUUUGUAAAAAUGAAUUAUCAGCAAAGCCCUCGGGUGGAACGGGGCACUUGAAGAGGCACGCCACAAGUUGCAAGCGAAAGAGUGGAGCAGCCAUGAAGCAGACGGUGUUGCAGUACAACCCCGACGGCUCUGUUCAUCAUUGGGAGUACGACUCUGCCAAUGUUCGAAAAGAGCUAUGUCGCUUCAUUGCAAGAGCGGAUCUACCACUCAAUAUCGGUGAGUCUGCUGCAUUUGAAGAUUACAUUAAGCAAGCUCAUAAUCCUAGGUUCACGCAUGUUUCUAGACAGACAACUAGUAGGGAUAUGGUAAAAUACUACAAUGCGUGUCGUAGCAAGCUUAAAGAAAUGUUGCAAACAUGUAUAUUUUCAGUUGCUUUGACCUCGGACAUAUGGGCAGGUAGGGCUAGAGAGGAUUAUCUUAGUGUGGUUGCUCAUUUUGUUAAUAAUGAUUGGGAAUUAGAAAAGAGAAUAAUAGGUUUUCGUUUGAUUGACAA